rnacentral:rRNA from 1 species
UAUGGCCUACGGGGGGCAGCAGUAGGGAAUUUUCGUCAAUGGGCGCAAGCCUGAACGAGCAAUGCCGCGUGAACGAGGAAGGUCUUCGGAUCGUAACGUUCUGUUGAAGGGGAAAAAGAGCGGAGAGAGGAAAUGGUCUCCGAUUGAUAUUACCCUUCGAGGAAGUCACGGCUAACUACGUGCCAGCAGCCGCGGUACUACGUCGGUGGCGGGCGUUAUCCGGAAUGAUUGGG